CGCUGGCGGCGUGCUUAACACAUGCAAGUCGAACGGAAAGGCCCUGCUUUGUGGGGUGCUCGAGUGGCGAACGGGUGAGUAACACGUGAGUAACCUGCCCUUGACUUUGGGAUAACUUCAGGAAACUGGGGCUAAUACCGGAUAGGAGCUCCUGCUGCAUGGUGGGGGUUGGAAAGUUUCGGCGGUUGGGGGAUGGACUCGCGGCUUAUCAGCUUGUUGGUGGGGUAGUGGCUUACCAAGGCUUUGACGGGUAGCCGGCCUGAGAGGGUGACCGGCCACAUUGGGACUGAGAUACGGCCCAGACUCCUACGGGAGGCAGCAGUGGGGAAUAUUGCACAAUGGGCGGAAGCCUGAUGCAAGCAACGCCGCGUGCGGGAUGACGGCCUUCGGGUUGUAAACCGCUUUCGCCUGUGACGAAGCGUGAGUGACGGUAAUGGGUAAAGAAGCACCGGCUAACUACGUGCCAGCAGCCGC
rnacentral:rRNA from 1 species